rnacentral:rRNA from 1 species
GUAGGUGGCAAGCGUUGUCCGGAAUUAUUGGGCGUAAAGCGCGCGCAGGCGGUUCUUUAAGUCUGACGUGAAAGCCCACGGCUCAACCGUGGAGGGUCAUUGGAAACUGGAGAACUUGAGUACAGAAGAGGAAAGCGGAAUUCCACGUGUAGCGGUGAAAUGCGUAGAGAUGUGGAGGAACACCAGUGGCGAAGGCGGCUUUCUGGUCUGUAACUGACGCUGAGGCGCGAAAGCGUGGGGAGCAAACAGGAUUAGAUACCCUGGUAGUCCACGCCGUAAACGAUGAGUGCUAAGUGUUAGGGGGGUUUCCGCCCCCCUUAGUGCUGCAGCUAACGCAUUAAGCACUCCGCCUGGGAGUACGGCCGCAAGGCUG